rnacentral:rRNA from 1 species
UACGAAGGGGACUAGCGUUGUUCGGAAUCACUGGGCGUAAAGCGCACGUAGGCGGAUUCGUAAGUCAGGGGUGAAAUCCCGGGGCUCAACCUCGGAACUGCCUUUGAUACUGCGGGUCUUGAGUCCGAUAGAGGUGGGUGGAAUUCCUAGUGUAGAGGUGAAAUUCGUAGAUAUUCGCAAGAACACCGGUGGCGAAGGCGGCCAACUGGACCAGUACUGACGCUGAGGCGCGAAAGCGUGGGGAGCAAACAGG